rnacentral:rRNA from 1 species
AUUGAACGCUGGCGGCAUGCCUUACACAUGCAAGUCGAACGGCAGCACGGGAGCAAUCCUGGUGGCGAGUGGCGAACGGGUGAGUAAUAUAUCGGAACGUGCCCAGUCGUGGGGGAUAACGUAGCGAAAGCUACGCUAAUACCGCAUACGAUCUACGGAUGAAGGCGGGGGAUCGCAAGACCUCGCGCGAUUGGAGCGGCCGAUAUCAGAUUAGCUAGUUGGUGGGGUAAAAGCUCACCAAGGCGACGAUCUGUAGCUGGUCUGAGAGGACGACCAGCCACACUGGAACUGAGACACGGUCCAGACUCCUACGGGAGGCAGCAGUGGGGAAUUUUGGACAAUGGGCGCAAGCCUGAUCCAGCCAUGCCGCGUGCAGGAAGAAGGCCUCGGUUGUAACGUAGACUUAGUCUAGGAAAAGGGUAGGACGAGGUAAGUACCUACCGUGCUUGUAUGUACGUGGAAGAAUAAAGGACACCGGACCGUAACGUAACGUAGUCCACG